CGGAAUUUUUAGCUGGCACUCAGAUUUCUGUCUGCCUCUCAUUGGCAAACAUGACAUUUCAGCAAUUUCUCUAAAGAGGAAUGACUGGGGGGUAUGUACAGCAGGCAUCAUGUAAGAAAAACUCACACCUCACGACAUAUUUGUUUGAUUUAUUCAGCAGACUUCAGCAAAGGAAAGAUGUGAAAGCAACCCUUGAUUGUUGAUUUUUUGUUCAUUCUGAAAAUCACAUCGCCAGAUCCAACACCUUUUUAUCCCAAUCACCAGUACAAGCCACCCGUAUCAGUGUACACUGUGGCUGACCGAUCCAUAGUGAUGCUUUGAGUUCUAUGAAGUGAACAGGCAUCCAACAAGGCUGAUGGCACAGAAGAUGGUCCUAAGACAGACAAGCAAACAAAACUUGCCUUCUCUGUGGAAGCACUUCCUGACUUCGCUUCCCCAACAACACAAGGAAGGACUUUCUGGAAUCUACUUAUCUGACCAAGAAAGCUUCUUUCCAAAAGAAAUGCAAUUGUCUUGAGACUUCUUCCCUAGGGAUCUGAUCAACUAACCAGAAAAGAGCAACCACCAGAGAAGAGACUUAUUUUUCAGAUCCUGAAUUCGCAGAAUGGCUGACAUCAGCCUGUCUGAAGACCCCCACCAAAGACCUGACUCAGCACAGGAAUGCAGUUUCGUCUUCCUGUCCCAUAAUUUCACCCCUCACUUCUCAACCAAUCAGUGAUCCCCGCAAUACCCAUCACCUGGCCAGGCCCUUUAAAAUCCCUAACCACAAACCCCUCAGGGAGGCAGAUUUGAGGUUUCCUCCGGUCUCUUCAAUUGACUGCAUGAUGAUUGAUUAUUAAACUCUUUCUCUGCUGCAACCCCCAGUGUCUCCAUAUAUUGACUCACUGCAUCGGGCAAAGGACUCGUUAUGGUUAUAGUAUGCAGCCAGUCCUGACUGGCUCUUCAGGGAAG
rnacentral:lncRNA from 1 species